UGAGGAAUAUUGGUCAAUGGGCGGGAGCCUGAACCAGCCAAGCCGCGUGAGGGAUGAAGGCCCUAUGGGUCGUAAACCUCUUUUGUCAGGGAACAAAAGCGAGUAUGUAUACUAGUCUGAGUGUACCUGAAGAAAAACGCAUCGGCUAACUCCGUGCCAGCAGCCGCGGUAAUACGGAGGAUGCGAGCGUUAUCCGGAUUUAUUGGGUUUAAAGGGUGCGUAGGCGGCGGUGCAAGUCAGCGGUAAAAGCCCGGGGCUCAACCCCGGCGAGCCGUUGAAACUGCAGUGCUAGAGAAGGCGAGAGGUACGCGGAAUGCGCAGUGUAGCGGUGAAAUGCUUAGAUAUUGCGCAGAACUCCGAUUGCGAAGGCAGCGUACUGGCGCCUGACUGACGCUGAGGCACGAAAGCGUGGGAUCGAACAGGAUUAGAUACC
rnacentral:rRNA from 1 species